AAGAACUACGUAUACAACUUUUAGAAGGCAUCUGAAGGCAACCCUGUAUAGCGAAGUUUUUAAUAUUUCGUGAAACCUCCCAGAGUGGCUGGGACAAGCCCAUCAGAGGCGCUGGGGUACAAAUAAUAAAAUUAUUAUUAUCCACUGACUAAGGGCAGAUCCGAAAUUAAAGCACAUGAUUUCCCCCCCAAAAUCCUGGGAAUUAAGGGUGCUGGAAAUGGUAGCUCUGUGAGGGAAAAACUAGAGUUCUGUAAGGUCUUUGAGAAAACCUGUGCUUUUUUUCUUAAAAUGUUUAGGGGUACUCUCAUUUUCUUAUUCAUAUUGAAAUACUGCCCCCCCCAAUGAAGCCAAACUUGGAUUCACAAAAUGUUUAGGGGUACGCGUACCCCUGCAUCCCCCCAGAAAAAAGCAUGAGAAAACCCAUGUGCUUUUGUUGUUGUUUAGUCGUGUCCGACUCUUCGUGACCCCAUGGACCAGAGCACGCCACGCACUCCUGUCUUCCACUGCCUCCCGCAGUUUGGUCAAACUCAUGCUGGUAGCUUCAAGAACACUGUCCAACCAUCUCAUCCUCUGUCGUCGUCUUCUCCUUGUGCCCUCCAUCUUUCCCCACAUCAGGGUCUUUUCCAGGGAGUCUUCUCUUCUCAUGAGGUGGCCAAAGAAUUGGAGCCUCCGCUUCAGGAUCUGGCCUUCCAUGUGCUUUAGAUGUGCAUUGAAUGUAUUUAAAAUGUUUAGUGUGGAGCUGCCCUAAGGCUCUGGGGUGUAGAACCACAGGUCCUGAAAGGCGGAUCGUAGCUAUCCACUACCUGGUUCUUGGGACUCUGCCCAGCCCAUUCCCUUUUCACCAUCCUGGCUCCACACCAUUUUCGGAGACUUCUGCACGCUAUAGAAUAGCAAAAGUGCUGCUUGCUGGGGCGAUCAAUGCGUGGGUGGGAUCAGGAAGUAGUCUCCCAUACAAAGGUAAGAGUCGCACCUGUUGCUCCACCCACUAUUGCCCCGGCUCCGCCCACCCCUGCCACGCGGCCCUUAGGUGCUGGCCCGCGAGGGAAAGAAGCCUUUGGUCUUCGAAACCGGUUCUCCACCGCCGUUCUGCCACAUUUACCCGAGAGGCAAGCCCCAGUGAAAAUAACGAAGGCUGAGUAAACACACGGAGCGACAAGAGGCCACGAUCUUGUGCACACUUACUUGGGAGUAAGUCUCACUAAACCACAUGGGGCUUCCGAGUAAACGUGGUUUACUGCAUGGGCAGAGAAUGUGUAGGCCCUGAACGGGGAAGGGCGGCAACGGCCCCACAAGGCAAGGGAACCUAGGUUCCCUCGACCACAUGGUCCCCAUGUAGGGUUAGGAAAGGGCACUUCCUGACUGUGCCUUUCCCCCAAAGGGAGGGGCAGGAAAAGGGAGCGCUCUCGCCCAAUCACCACCCGAAACCCAUCGACUGGCAGACUGUGCGAGGCAAGCAAGCGCAUGUUACAACCUAUCUACUCUUUUUUCAGAGGAGGAGGGAGGAAAAGAGGACUGGAGCCC
rnacentral:lncRNA from 1 species